UAGGAGCAUACACGGUAGCCACCGGUGAGGGAGGUGGAUGGCAUGUAUGUGCCUGUGAAGACGUUCUUCUUCUCUACUUUCGAGACGUCGAAGAGGACGGGGAAGCUGGCUGCGUCGAGGACGGCGACGACGCGGGGGUUAGAGGCCAUGAAUGGGCCCGGGGGCAUGUUUGUGCGGAAGACGGUGGAGUUGUACUUCUGGAUGCGGGUGGUGAAGAAUGGUUCGUUGCCUUGGAAGUAGUAGAAGUCGAGGCGGUCCUUGAUGGGGGAGAGGAAGGGGAUGCCAUAGCUGCCGGGGAUUUGCUUGAUGGGGAGGGUGGAUUUAUGCUCGUCGGCGGUGGGGGCGUUUCCGGCGAAGAGUGGUUGGAUUUUGGAGUUCAUGGUUGGGUUAGG
rnacentral:misc_RNA from 1 species